UCAGAAUAAAAGCACACUUUGGAUGUG
rnacentral:piRNA from 1 species